UUAUCUCGCAACACUGUCGUAGUUGUAAUCGGUCAGCGCAAGCGAAGCAAGCUGCCAUUUUUGUUUUGCAAAUUUUGCAGUCGCAACUCGCAGUGGUUUUUCUUCCAUUAAAUUUAUUUACCUAAUAUAAUUCCAGUCUUGUUUUAUUGGCGCCAGCUUUUUUUCCGGGACGGCGGUCGACUGACUCUUCCGAAUCGCCAAAUCUGUCUCGGAGACAGCAUCGUUCUGGCCUACACCCGUGAAAGCGACAUUCCCAGUACAUAUAGGAAAAGUUCCCUUCCGGUGUUUGAAAACACGGCAACUCGUGCUGCUGCUGUGGACGACGAUGUGCCAAGGAAGUAUUCCCUGCCAUUAUUGCAACCACCAAGGCUCGUCUGUAAAAGUGAAUUAUUAUAACCCCCCAACCGGCCAUCUAAAAAAUCUAGCGGUGCCGUAUGGGCGAUGUCACAAAAUCUACCUCUUUCACCUCGGCCUAGGCAAGAGUAUGGCCAAGAAUGUAUGGCGAUAGGCGUAUUGUGCGGGGCCUAAGGAUUUUACCGCCCUGGAGGAUUACUACGAAGCAGUCGGCAUUCAAUCCGAGUGAUUUGCGAUUCUCUACAGAUACCGCCGAUGAAACCAAUUCCGGGAACACCGGGAAACUUUACGAGUUGGUUUGGAAACAACCGCAACAGCAACUGCAGCUUUUCCCCGGGAAUUAUUUCACCCGUUAUUCAGGAACUUCUCCAGGAACUAGUUCCACGGGAUGACCUCCAGGAGUUAUGGGAAUUUUCUUCAGAAUUUCCUGAUGGAUUCCCAAGAAAUUCUUCAGGAUAUUUUUAUGAAUUUCUCCGAAAGUAGGAUUCUAAAACUGACCCCCAGGGGAAUUUUUUGGACAGUUGCCCGGGUAGUUCAUACAAGAGUUCCCCGAAAAUUCCUCAAGUUCUUCAGAAACCUUUCCAGCUGUUACACGGGAUUCAUUCAGAAUUUUCUCCACGAGUUCCUCUGGAGUCCCUCCAGGGGUUCUCCAGAAAGUUUACGGGAAUCCGUACAAGAGUUCUUGCAGCAUUCUUAUGUAAAACUUCCUCCAAGUCCAAGAUUUUUCUGGGAAUUUUUAAAAUUUUUCCCUGGUAAUUCAUCCAUAUUUGAACCACCAGGAGUUCUCAAAGAUUCAUACAGCAUUUUUAUGGACAUCCCUUCGGGAUUUCCUUUGGAAUUCUCCGAUGAGUUUCACAGAAAGUCUUCCAAGAUUUGUUAAUUAAACCAGGAUUCUCCCAACGGUUUUUUUAGAAGUUCCCCGGGAAAUCCUCCCGGUAAUGCCCAAAAAAUUCAUUCCAGAAGCGAGUGCAGAAGGUACCCGUAAAUUUUCUCCAACACUUCCCCGGAAAUUCAUUGUUCCCCGGGAAUCUCCCCUGCAGUUCUUCCACUUCCACAGAAAUUUAUUCAAAUCAGAUGAUCCCAAUGAAUUGCCUCAGGGAGUUUCCCUGGAAUUCCUCCAUGGAUUCUCUGGGAAUAUU